ACAGGCUUUUGUCUACUGGAGGUACAUAUGAACUGUACCUUAAGUACAUACCAAUUAAAGCGACAUAAACCCAACUCUCAUGAAUAUUAAUGUGUUGGAAUUACCAUCAAAACUUUCGUCAGGCUUUUUCUACUUGAGAUACACAUAAACUAUACCUAAAGUGCAGACCAAUGCAACUUACAUUUGUCAAUUUUCAUUUUUUUUUUUAAAAUAUUUUUACGCUGAUUUACGUUGAUUUACUCUUUUUUUAACACAUUACACGGCCAUUACGUUAAAUAUCCUAGUUUCAUAACGGUGGAAUGAGAUAUACAGAAACUGAAUUGGAAAUAUAAGUUUAAUUCUAACAUCCUUUCUCUUACAGCUGUUCACAUCAAUAUAUAGAAUUUAUAAGGUACCUUCAUCAGACACAGAGGAAUCAGCACAUUUUAUUUAGACACAUUUAAAAUUCUAUAUAUUUCAAAUUAAACAACUACCUGUACAUUCAAACAUUAAUCAAUAAAAUUUCGCAUUGGUGUUAAUAUUCAAUUGUAUCCAUACUAAUCGUCGUUGUUAAACCUAUUCUAUUGUGUUCUAGGAUAAAGUUGCCUUUUAAUACAGAUUUUUUUUCUCAGUUUGACUAAGAUGUAGUCAGACGAUUUUUAGCAUUGGAACUUUUAAAACCUUAAAAUGGAUUGUCAUACAUAAAAGUGUAUUUUAUAUAUGAUGUUUUCCCCAAUCAAAAUGAUCCAUUUGAAUUUGUUUAGUUGACGUAUAAAUGACGUCUACUGC
rnacentral:lncRNA from 1 species